AACGGCAGCCUUGUUGAUGUGGGAGUACGCGAAACAACACCACGCUGCCGCUAUGUAGGGUUGAUCCAUAGCAUCGGGGUAGUAUCCGGGCGCAGUUGGAAGUUGGAAAGGGAAAAAACCAGGAGCUUUCAAUUAGUGGCGCUUUGAAUGCUGCGAAACAUAUUUUCAAUUGAAAUCGAGAUAUCGUUCCCCCUGUCCCUGUCCGGACAAGCCUCCGAAACGACAAGAGAGCGAGAAUGCAAAUGAGGCAUCCGCAGCAGCCGCCGUUAUCUCCGGUUGCGCUGCGUUCCAGUCUAAAACAUUGUUGUUCCCAUGCGACAAACAAACAGCAUGAGUAUUA